AAGACUAUAUUUCUGAGGAUCGUUUCUAGAGAAAAUUUCUGUGGGAACAUUGGCCUAAGAAUAUAACGAUGCAACCACGAUGACGAGGUGUAGCAUCUUUCCCUGAGCGUGAGGAAGACUCGAGAAAUCGACUUUGUUUCGAAUUCUCAGUCAUCGAUGAUCGUUCACUUCUUGUACUUAGUAUGAGAAGGAUGGGAUGGGUGCUUUCUGAGUGGC